rnacentral:rRNA from 1 species
CCCUUAGAUGUUCUGGGCUGCACGCGCGCUACACUGAUACUUUCAGCGAGUCCACCACCUUGCCUGGGAGGGUGGGGUAACCUCUGGAAAGUGCAUCGUGAUGGGGAUCGAUUAUUGUAAUUAUUAAUCUUCAACGAGGAAUUCCUAGUAAGCAUGUGUCAUCAGCCCGUGCUGAUUACGUCCCUGCCCUUUGUACACACCGCCCGUCGCUACUACCGAUUGAAUGGCUUAGUGAGCUUUCUGGACUGUUGCUUUUCGUUGGAAACUUCGUUAAGCAUACGGGAAGGAAAUCAAACUUGAUCAUUUAGAGGAAGUAAAAGUCGUAACA